rnacentral:lncRNA from 10 species
UUUGAAUAAAGCAGAUUACUCUUCAUGAGGUGGGCCUCAUCCAAUCAGUUGAAGGCCUUAAGAAAAAAGGCUGACCUCUCCCAGGAAGAAGGAAUACUGACAGCAGACUCCCUUUGGACUCUAACUGCAACAUCGAUGCUUCUCUGGGUCUACAGCCUGCUGGCCUACCCUGCAAAUUUUGAACUUGCUAGUCUCCUCAAUCAUCCCAUACACACUGAAGUUGCUCCAAAGAGAGACUGUGAAAUGCGUCUGAGAUUGUAAAUGCCACCCUCCAGGAGAAACCAGGAAGGAAAUUGAAGUGAAAUGCAAGAGUAAACUCAGCAGAGAUGUAACUGGCCCCUCUGGGUGGAAGACACAGCAGAAUUGAAUAAACCCAGAAUUGAGUACAUCUGCUGCCAGCACAUCUUCAAUGCUGCCAAAUGCCCUCACCUACGUUAAAUCAGGU